rnacentral:misc_RNA from 1 species
AAGUCGUAACAAGGUUUCCGUAGGUGAACCUGCGGAAGGAUCAUUAACAAAUCUGGAGUGGAGUGGAGGGGGAAGGCGCGAAAGCGUCGGCUCGGCUGGCUCAGCUGGCUCGGCGGUCGGCUGCCCUGCCACGCACACAUUGACUCGGGCUCGGCUGGAUGGCCGAGUCUAGAGCACAUUCACGCUUGUAGUGUUUGACCGAGUUUAUUUGUUUGUAAGAGACGACAACUUUUAACAAUGGAUCUCUUGGUUCUU